rnacentral:rRNA from 3 species
AGGGAAACAGGUUAAUAUUCCUGUACUUGAACCAUACGGUGCAAAUUGUUUAUACAAUUUGUAAGGGGCGGUAACGUAUAUGAAACCAUAAAUGUCAUAUAUAGUUCAGGCUAGAGAUAUCUUCUCUAGUUAAUAUAGUUUGUCCAUGGAAUAGGUUCUGCCUGAGAUAUGGAUAAAGCUAUUGAAAAGUAUCGCAGUUUUUGUGAUAUCCUGAGUGCUAUGUAUGAUCCGUGAAAAUAUGGUGAAUCCCUUAUAAUGUAUGGUAAAGCCGUACCGAAACCGCAUCAGGUUUUCAAGGUGUAUAGCCUCUGGUCGAUAGAAUAAUGUAGGUAAGGGAAGUCGGCAAAUUAGAUCCGUAACUUUGGGAAAAGAAUUGGCUCUACGGAUUGAGUAAUAGGAGUAUAUGGAAGAAGCUUAUAUUUAUAAUAAGAUCUGAGGGAUCGUAAGUGAACUUGGGUUAAUGUUAUGAAUAUUUGUUGACACUAUAUACUAUGUUGUUAACGCAACGUCCUAUUACAACGAACAAUUAACGUAGAACUGACACGGACUCGGGGAAUCCGACUGUCUAAUUA